GAUGAACGCUGGCGGCGUGCUUAACACAUGCAAGUCGAACGAAAAGGUCCGGCUUUUGUUGCUUGCUCGAGUGGCGAACGCGUGAGUGACACGCGUGUAUCCUCCCCUUGACUUUCGGGUAUCUUCAGGGGACUGCGGCUCAUAUCCGGUAGGAUCUCCUGCUGCAUGUUGUGGGUUGGAAAGUGUCGGCGGUUGGGGAUGUACUCGCGGCUUAUCAGCUUCUUGGUGGGGUAGUGGCUUACCAAGGUUAUGAGGGGUAGCCGGCCUGGGCGGGUGACCGGCCACAUUGGGACUGAGAUACGGCCCAGACUCCUACGGGAGGCAGAAGUGGGGAAGAUUGCAAAAGGGGCGGAAGCCGGAUGCAGAAACGCCGCGUGCGGGAUGACGGCCUUCGGGGUGUAAACCGCUUUCGCCUGUGACGAAGCGUGAGUGACGGUAAUGGGUAAAGAAGCACCGGCUAACUACGUG
rnacentral:rRNA from 1 species